AUGGAGGUUGCAGCAGGGGCAAUGAGCCCACUCCUCCGAAAGCUUAGUGACCUGCUCGUGGCUGAGUACACCCUGGGCGAGCAGGUGAAGAAGGGCGUCCAGUCCUUCCUGAGGGAGCUGGAGAUGAUGUACGUCGUCGUCCACAAGGUGGGCGACAUGCCACCGGAGCAGCUCGAUGAGCAGGUCCGGAUCUGGGCGGGCAAGGUCCGAGAGCUCUCCUACAACAUGGAGGAUGCUGUGGACGGUUACAUGUUCCGCGUGUACCAUGGCAGCCAUGGUGACCUCGGCCCUAACAACAUGAAGAACAGAGUCAAAAAGUUCUUCAAGCGAACCAAAAAGUUGUUCAGCAAAGGCAAGGCUCUCCAUCAAAUCUCCAAUGCAAUCCAAGAUGCUCAGGACCUUGCCAAGGAGCUGGGUGAGCUCCAUCAAAGGUACAUGCUUGAGGCACGUGCUGAUGGUAUGGGAAAUGCCAUUGACCCUCGCCUGAAGGCUGUGUAUAGAGACAUCACAGAGCUUGUCGGCAUCGAGAACACACGGGAUGAGCUGAUCAAGAAGCUAUUUGAUGAGUAUGAUAUGUCUAAUCAGCGACUCAAGACAUUGUCUAUUCUUGGAAUUGGUGGAUUGGGAAAGACAACCCUCGCAAGAGCGGUGUACGACAAGAUUAGAGUGCACUUCAGUUGUGGAGUAUUUGUUUCAGUGUCACGGAAUCCUGACAUAACAAAGAUUUUCAAGAAGAUGUUGUAUGGACUGGACAAAAUUAAGUUUGCAAACAUCAACGAAGCUUUCAGAGACAACGAACAACUCAUCGAUGAACUGAGAGAGUUUCUUCAGGAUAAGAGGUACUUGAUCAUUAUUGAUGACAUAUGGGGUGAAGAAGCAUGGGAAAUUAUCAAGUGUGUUUUCUCUAAGAAUAAUCUCGGUAGUCGAGUAAUAACAACAACACGUAUAACCCGUGUCUCUGAAGCAUGUUGCCCAUCAAGUGAUGAUAUUAUUCAUAAGACGAAAUCCCUUAAUAGUGUUGACUCCAGAAAGCUCUUCGACAAAAGAAUAUUCCCUCAAGGAAGUGAAUGUCCCAAUGAAUUGGAGCAAGUAUCUAGAGAAAUUCUGAAAAAAUGUGGUGGGGUACCACUAGCCAUCAUUACGAUGGCUAGUCUUUUAGCCAGUAAUGAUCAACAUACAAAGCCAAAGUAUCAAUGGGACAACAUACUCAGUUCAAUUGGUCAUGGACUUGCAGAAGGUGGUAGUGCAAAGGAUAUGAAGAGAGUAUUAUCCUUUAGUUAUUAUGAUCUACCUUCCCAUUUGAAGACAUGCUUACUAUAUCUCAGUAUAUUCCCAGAAGAUUGUGAGAUAAACAGAGACCGGUUGAUAUGGAGGUGGAUAGCCGAAAGCUUUAUUCAAGGUGGAGAGCAAGAAGUUAGACUAUUUGAGCUCGGGGAGAGGUACUUUAGUGAGUUGAUAAACAGAAACUUGAUUCAGCUAGUAGAUGUUGAUUUUGAAGGUAGGGCGCGUACUUGUCGCCUACAUGAUAUGGUACUUGAUCUCAUAUGUUCUCUAUCCAGUGAAGAAAACUUUGUCACUAUAUUGGAUAGUAAGCAAGGCAAAAACAGUUCAGAUAGCAUUGUUCGUAGGUUAUCCUUUCAGAAUAACAUGUCAGGGCUUACCACCAAUUGCGCUGAUGCCACAAGUUUGUCAAAGUAG
rnacentral:rRNA from 1 species